AACGAACGCUGGCGGCGUGCCUAACACAUGCAAGUCGAACGAGAAAUCCUGAGCAAUCGGGAGAGUAAAGUGGCGCACGGGUGAGUAACGCGUGGGUAACCUACCCUUAAAUUUGGGAUAACUCCUCGAAAGGGGAGUUAAUACCGGAUAAUAUUCUGAUUUCUUCGGGGGUUGGAAUCAAAGAUGGCCUCUGCAUGCAAGCUAUCAUUUAAGGAUGGGCCCGCGUACCAUUAGCUUGUUGGUAGGGUAAUGGCCUACCAAGGCAACGAUGGUUAGCUGGUCUGAGAGGAUGGCCAGCCACACUGGAACUGAGACACGGUCCAGACUCCUACGGGUGGCUG
rnacentral:rRNA from 1 species